GACGAACGCUGGCGGCGUGCUUAACACAUGCAAGUCGAACGGAAAGGCCCUGCUUUUGUGGGGUGCUCGAGUGGCGAACGGGUGAGUAACACGUGAGUAACCUGCCCUUGACUUUGGGAUAACUUCAGGAAACUGGGGCUAAUACCGGAUAGGAGCUCCUGCUGCAUGGUGGGGGUUGGAAAGUCUCGGCGGUUGGGGAUGGACUCGCGGCUUAUCAGCUUGUUGGUGGGGUAGUGGCUUACCAAGGCUUUGACGGGUAGCCGGCCUGAGAGGGUGACCGGCCACAUUGGGACUGAGAGACGGCCCAGACUGCUACGGGGGGCAGCAGUGGGGAAUAUUGCACAAUGGGCGGAAGCCUGAUGAAGCAACGCCGCGUGCGGGAUGACGGCCUUCGGGUUGUAAACCGCUUUCGCCUGUGACGAAGCGUGAGUGACGGUAAUGGGUAAAGAAGCACCGGCUAACUACGUG
rnacentral:rRNA from 1 species